GGCUUUUACUUAUUUGGGUUUUGUUUUGAAAGCAAAAAUUGAAGCAUUAAAUUGCUUAAGAGCUU
rnacentral:tRNA from 1 species